GCUUGUCUCAAAGAUUAAGCCAUGCAUGUCUAAGUAUGAACAACUUUAUACUGUGAAACUGCGAAUGGCUCAUUAAAUCAGCUAUUGUUUAUUUGAUAGUACCUCACUACUUGGAUAACCGUAGUAAUUCUAGAGCUAAUACAUGCGAAAAGACGCGACUCACGAAGCGUUGUAUUUAUUAGAUAAAGCCAACGCUGGGUAAAACCAGUUUCCCUUGGUGAUUCAUAAUAAUUAAGCGGAUCGCAUGGCCUUGUGCUAGCGACAGUCCACUCGAUUUUCUGCCCUAUCAUGGUUGAGAUUGUAAGAUAGAGGCUUACAAUGCCUACAACGGGUAACGGGGAAUUAGGGUUCGAUUCCGGAGAGGGAGCCUGAGAAACGGCUACCACAUCCAAGGAAGGCAGCAGG
rnacentral:rRNA from 1 species